rnacentral:rRNA from 1 species
CCUACGGGUGGCAGCAGUGGGGAAUAUUGGGCAAUGGGGGCAAGCCUGACCCAGCAACGCCGCGUGAAGGAAGAAGGCCCUCGGGUUGUAAACUUCUUUUGUCAGGGACGAAACAAAUGACGGUACCUGACGAAUAAGCCACGGCUAACUACGUGCCAGCAGCCGCGGUAAUACGUAGGGGGCAAGCGUUAUCCGGAUUUACUGGGUGUAAAGGGCGCGUAGGCGGGAGUGCAAGUCAGAUGUGAAAGUCCAGGGCUCAACCCUGGAACUGCAUUUGAAACUGUUUUUCUUGAGUGAUGGUGUGGCAAGCGGAAGUCCGUGUGUAGCGGUGAAAUGCGUAGAUAUACGGAGGAACACCAGUGGCGAAGGCGGCCUGCUGGACAUUAACUGACGCUGAGGCGCGAAAGCGUGGGGAGCAAACAGGAUUAGAUACCCCAGUAGUC